GCCCGUCAGCUCCGAACACACCUCACAGCAAGUCAGCUGGCAGUGGAGAACAUCACCUUAGCUCUGCUGAUGCCAGAUCUGUAUUGCUGUUUGUGUGCUAGCUGAUGGUGUUGAAGGUUGCUUUAGAAUGACUCAGCAGAGCUGUGAGCUGCAGGAUGGAUUCUGAAGCAACUGCGGGGCUGAAAAUGGCUUUUUUCAUGUAUUGAUGUAGUGCA